GAUGAACGCUGGCGGCGUGCCUAAUACAUGCAAGUAGAACGCUGAAGGAGGAGCUUGCUCUUCUGGAUGAGUUGCGAACGGGUGAGUAACGCGUAGGUAACCUGCCUGGUAGCGGGGGAUAACUAUUGGAAACGAUAGCUAAUACCGCAUGACAACAGUUAUUGCAUGAUAACUGUUUAAAAGGGGCAACUGCUCCACUACCAGAUGGACCUGCGUUGUAUUAGCUAGUUGGUGAGGUAACGGCUCACCAAGGCGACGAUACAUAGCCGACCUGAGAGGGGGGUCGGCCACACUGGGACGGAGACACGGCCCAGACGACUACGGGAGGCAGCAGUAGGGAAUCUUCGGCAAUGGACGGAAGUCUGACCGAGCAACGCCGCGUGAGGGAAGAAGGUUUUCGGAUCGUAAAGCUCGGUUGUAAGAGAAGAACGAGUGUGAGAGUGGAAAGUUCACACUGUGACGGUAUCUGAACAGAAAGGGACGGCUAACUACGUG
rnacentral:rRNA from 1 species